rnacentral:rRNA from 1 species
UACGUAGGCAGCAAGCGUUGUUCGGAGUUACUGGGCGUAAAGGGUGCGUAGGCGGCCCUGUAAGUAUGGUGUGAAAUCUCCCGGCUUAACUGGGAGGUGCGCUAUAGACUGCGGGGCUCGAGUGUGGGAGAGGAAAGUGGAAUUCCUGGUGGUAGCGGUGAAAUGCGUAGAUAUCAGGAGGAACACCGGUGGUGUAAACGCUUUCUGGACCAUAACUGACGCUGAGGCACGAAAGCGUGGGUAGCAAACAGG